GAGGGUGUAGCUCAGUGGUAGAGUGCAUGUCUAGCAAGCACAAGGUCCCGGGUUCAAUCCCCAGUGCCUCCA
rnacentral:tRNA from 1 species